AAAGAGAGCAUGGGUUUCAAAGUGUGGUGAACCUGGUUCAAAUCCCCACUUCAGCACCUGCUGCAGUAUGAUCUAGAGAAAGUUCUGGAACCUGUUUGUUUCUCAUUGACCUAAGUUACCUGAAAGGGCUGGCACGACGCCAGUGGGCCCUGCUUCUGCUGCUGCUGCCAAUGUCCUUAUGCAAAUGGCCUCCGCCUUGUGCACUUCUGUUCCCAUCUGCAAAACAGGAGCCUUGGCCAGGGCAUUUCUAAGGCCACUUCCCUGUUUAAGCCACUUUAGCUUGAUGGAAGCGUCUCAGGUUUUAUACUCUGGAACAUUUGGAUAUAGCUGGGAAUUUCUCUCCUGGAGGAAGCAGAGGGUGAUGUUUCAGCCAGCAAUCCUGCACCCACAAGAAAGCCUGCCCCUGGUCAGCAGAACAGCAAUCAGAGAAGCUGCUUAUGAAGAUGGAGUGGCCUGUACCACAGAGCAUCGUGACUCUGGCCCGCAUCCCACUGAGCAACCCCAACUCCUCAUGGGAGUUCAUGGAAGCCACGGCCACCCAGCAUUGCCACAGCAAGAAGGCUCAGGAGGUGCAUAACUGAUCUGCAGAUGAACCCAGCACCUACUCAGGAAUGGCUGGAGCCGCAGCAGCUACCUUAUGACCGUGGGAUACAAGCCAAGAGAAUCACAGAGAUGCCAUCUUCCACAGAGCAGAGCUGCUAAAUCAACACUUCUAAUUCCCUCCAGACUUAACAUAUGAGAAUUCGGCUGUUACCCAACCAGCCAAAUGUAUGCUUGCCCGGCUAACUUAAAGUGCUGUGGAGGAACCCAAAUGGAAUCAAGGAGUGGAACAUAAAAAUCGGUUUCUUAUGCCUCUGCACUUCACCUUUCUCCUGUUCAUCCCACUCUGCCAUCAUUGCCUGCUUGCCUCCGAAUUGCCCACGACAGUGCAGUCUGGGCACGGAUCACACCUCCCAUGCAGCGGUGGCUUUGUGAUCUGUCCACCUGGGUAAGCUGAACCACACUUCCCAGAAUUCCCUUCCCGUGUGUUUCCGGUUAGAGUGGAGCACAGAGGAGAAACUUGUGGAAGGUUUGGAGGUGGGAAGUGAAGCAGCAGUCAUUUUACAGCUCACACGAAUUGUGGCUUCUCUGCUGGCUCACCUCAGCAGAGGCAGGAACUGACAUGGGGCCGGGUGCAGUGGCUCACGCCUGUAAUCCCAACACUUUGGAGAGGCCAAGGCAGGUGGAUUGCUUGAGACCGGGAGUUCAAGACCAGCCUGGGCAACAUGGCAAAACCCUUCUCUACAAAAAAUACAAACAUUAGCCAGGUGUGGUGGCUCAUGCCUGUAGUCCUAGCUACUUGGGAGGCUGAGUUGGGAGGAUUUGCUUGAGACCAGGAAGGUCAAGGCUGCAGGGAGCUGAGAUUGGGCCAUGACACUCCAGCCUGGGCAACAGAGUGAGACCCUGUCUCAAAAAAACAAAAAAGAACUGACACAGACGGAUGUGUCUGCCUUCAAGGGCUUCCACUUGGGCUUGUCCUCCCUUACUUUAUAUCCGUCUGUCCUUCCCGAUUGUCUGCAGAGCCUGCUUAAGCAGCCCCAGUGCCAGUGACUGUGUAAGGUCAAAUUCCCACAACAAAUCUCUUCAAACAAGUACCUCUUAGUGGUUCUGCUUUUCUGAUGAAACCCUGAUGGGUACACACUCAUUUAUUCAUUCAACCAAAAAAUAUUAACUGAUAAAAAAUACUGAACACUACCAUGCACCAGAUACUAGGUGCUAGGUAGUGAAUAAAACAAAGUUCCUGCCACCAUGGUGUGAGGUGUACUGUCAUAUCCCCAAGAUAUACCCCACUGCUGAAUGAGCGUCUGAGGACCAGGUGCUGGUGCUGACUCCUCUGUUGACACCUGUGUGACUUUGGAUCAGAAUCCUUUAAUCUCUCCACAUCUAGAUUUCUUCAUUAGUAAACUGGGGUGAGCAACCUCCCAAUCUACUUCUCAUAUAAAUGCAGGUGGGGCCGGGCACGGUGGC
rnacentral:lncRNA from 1 species